rnacentral:rRNA from 1 species
UGGUUCUUGAGAUAACGUAAGGGAUAAAAAUGAUAGUACCUUACUAUAAGUGUUGUCCAACAAUACUGGUGCCAGAAGACUCGGUAACGCCAGAAACGCAAACGUUAGUCGUCUUAAUCAGGCGUAAAGGGUAAGUAGGCUGCUUUAAAAAUUAUUAAAUAGAAAGCUCUAGCCGUAGGCUAGUAAAUAAUAAUGAAUUAAAGCUAGAAUCAAAUAGGGGAUAAGCCAAAUAAUGUUUAGUGUAAGGCUCAAAUCUUUAGAUACUAAAUGGAAUACUAAGGUGAAAACUUUUAUCUACUAAUGAUUGACGCUGAGGAACGAAGGUGAGAAUAGAAAACAGGAUUAGAGACCCAGGUAUCUCUCACUGUCAACGAUGAAUGGUAGUUGUUAGUUAAAAAUUUAAUUAGUAACGAUGUUAACGCGUUAACCAUUCCGCCUUGCGAGUACG